ACAGAGGGUGCGAGCGUUAAUCGGAAUUACUGGGCGUAAAGCGCGCGUAGGCGGCUUUGUAAGUCGGAUGUGAAAUCCCCGGGCUUAACUCGGAAAGGUCAACUGAUACUGUGCGACUAGAGUGCAGAAGGGGCAACUGGAAUUCUCGGUGUAGCGGUGAAAUGCGUAGAUAUCGAGAGGAACACCUGCGGCGAAGGCGGGUUGCUGGGCUGACACUGACGCUGAUGCGCGAAAGCCAGGGGAGCGAACGGGA
rnacentral:rRNA from 1 species